AACAGUUUAGCUCAACCCCUCUGAGUGGGAAAUAUGGUUAGCUUCUGUAGUGUCCAUGUGGAAGUCCUGACCUCGCUUGCAGACUUGACCUCUGGAGAUGAAAAGCUCUUCAUCUGAGAAAUGAGCUAGGUUCAUCUUCCUUGGACAUUCUAGCAUCCUUAACUUUCGGUCCAGCAAGCACAAGAGCUGAAUCAGCGAAUAGAGUGAACGAACACUCAGGAUGAGAUGGCUGCUGCUGAUGGGUCUGUCUCUCUAGGUCAUUACCUCUCUUCCAACUGCAAAUGCUGCAUGAUACUAAGCUUACAGAAUUCAGAAGCACAAGUCAGAAAAGAAUUCUGCUGAGAAGACCAAGAGGAAACCUUUCUAAUUACAGAAAUACACCCUGAACAACUUCAUCAGGUCAAUGAAUCAUACAAAUUUGGUCAAACCAGGAUGAAGAGCAACAGAUAUGUUUGGAAAUGACUGUGCUCAGCAACAACAAUGAAGUGUAGUAAGGCUUAAUGCCAAAUCUGCAGGUAAAUGACACUAUAAAGUUCAGUCCUUGUGAAAAAAGUAAUCUGUGCAAGUAAUUACACCAUUUUUGUAAAUAAUGAACAAGUUCAAUGUUACUCUAACGAUACAGGAAUAGGGAAAAUGAAACAUUUCAGGUUUAUCUGACAACCAUCUAGACCUACUCAGAGUACAUACUUCUUUAUGUACCCAUAUGAACAUACAAUGCUAUGGAAUGUAAAGAAGUAUGUAUUUUUGGUAGGUGAUAAACCACCAAGGGGGAAGGAACUAGCCUGCGACGAGAAGGAGCAACAUUUCUUUUGGAAUGACCUUCAUGUGGCAAAUUAACCUGGCAAGAAAAAGGACAUUUUCAGUAUUGCCACAAUAAAAUGUGAAGCAAAAUA